rnacentral:lncRNA from 10 species
GGGGAGGGGCGGCGAGGCGAGGCCUGCGGAGCGGAGGAAGACAAACAUAAAGAUGAAGUGCUUAAUUCAAGGUCACACAAUGUCGGGGAUGGACCUCCAGAUUUCCUUACUGGUGAGACGUGGUCUUGUAACACAGUGGUUAAGAAUGUGACUUUGGAGCCAGCCUGCUAGGGGCUGAAUUCUGACUCAGCCAUUUACUAACUGUGUGACCUUAGGUGGAGUCUCACUCUGUAGCCCAAGCUGGAGUGGCGUGAUCUCGACUCACUGCAACCUCCGCCUCCUGGGAUCAAGUGAUUCUCGUGCCUCAGCCUCCUGAGUAGCCGGGACUACAGGUCACAGAAUUUUCCACACUCCUUGACAGAGGUGCUUAACCCUUAUCCAUCAGCAUUCUCAGACAGCACCUCCGGUUAGGGACAGUAUCUGACCGUCCGACAUCCCUGCAGCCCCCAUGUGUCACACAGACUCAGCCUCAGGUAGAUGGUUUCCGUAGAUGGUGGCUUUCUUUGGACCCUUGACAUCAACCAGUUACUAUUUGACUCUUCUGCAGAACCCCAUGUUGACCCCUGCUUUGAGGUGGCAGAGUUAACACUACUCUUCGUUAUAAGCUCUCGUCUGGGGCAACUCAGAAGAACGGGACCAGAUGUGCAGAGGUAAUGAAUACCAGGGAAUCAGGAAACCACUGGAUCAGUUCUUUGAGCCACAGAACAACACUCAUCCCAGCAGCUGGGAAGCUAUCUGCAAAAGUCCAUCUGCAGAAAGGGCUUCCUGGUCUUGCGUGUGGCUGGGCCAUUUCUCUGGAUGCAGGUUUUUCAUUAUACAGUCUUCUCAAAGAACCACCUGCUCUCAACACCUUCUCGGUGACUCCAUUUCCCCU